rnacentral:tRNA from 1 species
CAGAAAAUAGUAUAUAGUAAGUACAUAAAUUUUGGAUAUUUAAAGAGAAUUUCUUUUCUGA